rnacentral:lncRNA from 1 species
UCACCACUUUGCCCCACCACCUCCGGCCACUACUUUUUACCUGUUGUUGUAAACAUUAAUUAAUUGUAACCAAUAAUUAAGUAUAUUAAUCCCACAAUUAAUCUUACUUGGACAAUAUGACAUUGUUGUAGCUAGCUUCCUCCUGAUCACACACUCUGAUAUUUAUAUAUAUAUAUUUUGAUGAUAUUUAUAGAUUUGAAGAGUUGACUUUCAAUUCAAGCUUCUACUUAUUUCACUUUGAUGCUGACUAUGUAUAGCUUCGUGUCAAUCACUUAUUUGACUUUGAU